ACGGAAGGCAGCAGUGGGGAAUAUUGGACAAUGGAGGCAACUCUGAUCCAGCGACGCCGCGUGAGUGAAGAAGUAUUUCGGUAUGUAAAGCUCUAUCAGCAGGGAAGAUAAUGACGGUACCUGACUAAGAAGCCCCGGCUAACUACGUGCCAGCAGCCGCGGUAAUACGUAGGGGGCAAGCGUUAUCCGGAUUUACUGGGUGUAAAGGGAGCGUAGACGGCUUUGUAAGUCUGAUGUGAAAGGCAGGGGCUCAACUCCUGGACUGCAUUGGAAACUACAGAGCUUGAGUGCCGGAGAGGUAAGCGGAAUUCCUAGUGUAGCGGUGAAAUGCGUAGAUAUUAGGAGGAACACCAGUGGCGAAGGCGGCUUACUGGACGGUAACUGACGUUGAGGCUCGAAAGCGUGGGGAGCAAACAGGAUUAGAUACCCUGGUA
rnacentral:rRNA from 1 species